GAAUCGCUGGCCUGCAGCUGGGGCAGCCCCGGGUCACCCCCGCCCACGCCUUCCCCGCCCACAGGACGCGCCCCCUAGGCCACACCUGAGCUCGCCCUGCGGUCCCGGGCAGUGACUCCGCCGAGCCUCGGUGGGGGAGGGGACAGGGGAGAGAAUAGGGAAGAGGGGCGCGAUCUGUGUCUGGGACCCGUUGCCAAGAAACCCGACCCUCGGGCUCUGGCCAUCAGCAGCCGCGGUGCAGCUGCCUCCCCCUGCCUCCAGGUCGCCCAGCAGAGCUUUCUAGAGCUGGGUGCUCAGAAGACCCCAGGCGGAGGCAAGAACCUUGGGCCGCGGCUCUGUGGGAAAAGCCCUCGGGGAAGCCAGACGGCGCGCUCCAGCUCCCCAUCGCGGGCGUGGGCCCCGGGGUGGAGGCAGUUGGGUCGCGGCCCUGCCACCCCCAUGCUGCACGGCCUCGGCCCAGUGCCACCACCUCUGUGGGCCGCCGUUUCAGCCUCCAGAUGGGGUGGCGGCGGGCCCCAGCCCUUGCCCCAAGUCUCUAAGGAAGGGUCUGGCCUGGCCCGCCCAGAUCCGAGCUGCUGCGUACGCGCGGGGCUGGGAGCUGCAAAAACGCCCGGGGCCCAGGGUGAGCGGCUGGGCCCUCGGGGGACCCGGCGCGCGCGGGGGCUCCAGCUCCGCCCUGUUGGGGGCCAGAGCAGGAGGGAGGCCGCCCCAGCUUGUUCUGGGCCGCAGCCCUGCCGACCGCACGGGACAGGCGCCGCGUCCUCUCUGGGCCUCCAAGACGCAGACUAGAAGCCCAUAGCUGCUGGGAAGAUGGGCACCCCAGGUCUCCGCGCACGGCCUUCCCAGGGCCACGGUGAAACAUGGAUGCGACACUCAGGCACCUUCCCGGCCCCCGGCGAAAACGCAAAGCCUGAGCCCAUGAUGGGCUCGGAAGCUCUGCGGGAUUGAGUCAUCAGAGGAAUGCUGAUCUAGAAGUACAAUGGCUGGAAGACACCCGCAGAAACCGCGGGCACUGGAGAGCAAGUGCAGCUUUAAUCUCCAGGCGUGAUUUAGAUGGAAAGCAGCCUGAAGACCAGUUAAGAGAACCGCGAGCAGAGCGCGCUGGACUAGCACCAACAGACGUGAGUUCGAGACCGUCCUGCCCCUUAAUCCUGUGUGACCUUGGUCCAUUUUUUAAGUCUGUGAGCCUCGCAGUGUUCUCAUUCCUGAAAAGAGCCUGCCCCAUCUCCGGACUGCAGUGAGAACAAAAGGAGACUAUGAACAUGACUUUUUGCCACUUUUGAAGCCCCACACUGAGGAAAGAUUUUCCUAGCACUUGGGAGAUUUUCUUUAGCACCAGCUGCCAAGAAUGCUGGGAAGGAGACAGCCCCAUCCCAGAAGGAAGACACCUUAAAUCAGAACUUUAUUUUUCCUCCUAUGAAAAUACAAUCUAAUACUGGAGAAGUGUAAAAAUUAAGGAGUCAUUAGAAGCCAUUUGUUGUUGUUGUUGUUGUUAUUGUUUUGAGACAGGAUCUUACUCUGUCACCCAGGCUGGAGUGAGGUGGCACGAUCAUUGCUCACUGUAGCCUCCAACUCCUGGACUCAAACAAUCCUCCCUUCUCGGCCUCCCAAGUACCUGGGACGAGAGGUGCACUGGGCGUGGUAGCACACAUCUGUAGUCCCAGGUACUUUAGAAGCCGAGAAGGGAGGUCUCACUAUUUUGCCCAGGCUGGUCUCCAACUCCUGGGAUCAAGCCAUCCUCUUGCCUCGGCUUCCCAAAGUGUUGGGAUUAUAGGUGUGAGCCACCACUCCCAGCCUGUUGUUUUAACUUUCUAUCAAAGAAAUGGAUGGAGGGUGGACAGGGAUGCUGGGUGCUUUAGAUUAGACUUGAAAGAGUUAACAGCAUAGGUUACAGAAUCACACAUACCCGAAUUGGAAUCUCAUCUUGACCCUUUACUACCACUGUUUCGUUAUGUUAGUGACUUAACCUCUCUGUGCUUCAGUUUCUUCAUCUGUAAAAUGAAGAAAAUGGCACCAACCUGUGGGGUUGUUGAGAAGAUGAAAUGCAAUAGUGAAUGUAAAAGUGCCUGACAGGACCCAGCACGUGGUAAUACAUAAUAAAUGCUAGCUAGUUUUGGUUUCCAUCCUUCCUUCCUACCAAUUUUUAUUGUAAAAUAUUUUUAAACAUGCGGAAGAGUUGAAAGAAUCAUACAGUGAACACCCACGCAUGUUCCACCUAGCUUCUGCAUUAACAUUUUUACUCUAUUUGCUCUAUCACAUAUCUGUCCAUCUAGCUUUCUUUCCCUCUAUCCAUAUAUCAAUCCAUCUGUUCUGGUUACUACUGUUAUGUAACAAAUUCCUCAAAACUUCGUGACUUGAAAAAAACAGCCAUUUUUGUCAUGCUCAUGGAUUUCAUGAGUUAGAAAU
rnacentral:lncRNA from 10 species